rnacentral:tRNA from 1 species
CAAGAGCUAGUGUAAUCGUAGCACAGCAGUCUCAUACGCUGCUUGUAAUGGUGCAACUCCAUUGCUCUUAU